AUGUUCCACCAAGAGAAGCAGACCAUUGCCCUGCUGUGGUUUAACAGUGUCCCCAGAAUUUAUGUUAGAAACUUCAUCCCCAAUGCAAAAGUGUUGGGAGUUUCCUGCUUCAACAGCGCUUGGACAGAACCGGCGCUCGUCCCCCACCCCGACCGGCCACCCACAUCCAGCCCUCAGUCACCUGCACACCGCGCCCUCGGACCGCCCCAAGGUCCCCGCCGCGGCUCCAGCGCCCGCAGCCACCGCCACCGCGCCUCCGCCUCUCCUUAGCCCCGGUCAUGACUACUGUGUCCUGCUCGCAGGUGCGCCAGAACUGCCACCGGGACUCACAGACCGCCAUCAACAGCCAAAUCAACAUGGAGCUCUGCGCCUACUGUGUUUACUUGUCCAUGUCUUACUACUUUGGCCACGAUGAUGUGGCUUUGAAGAACUUUGCCAAGUACUUUCUUCACCAGUCUCAUGAGGAGAGGGAACAUGCUGAGAAACUGAGAAAGCUGCAGAACAAAUGAGGUGGCCACAUCUUCCUUCAGGAUAUCCAGAAAUCAGACCAUGACGACCGGGAGAGGGGGCUGAAUGCGAUGGAGUGUGCAUUACAUUUGGAAAAAAAUGUGAAUCAGUCACUACUGGACCUGCACAAACUGGCCACUGACAAAAAUGAGCCCCAUUUCUGUGAUUUCAUUGAGACACAUUACCUGAAUGAGCAGGUGAAAUCCAUCAAAGAAUUGGGUGACCACGUGACCAACUUGCGCAAGAUGGGAGCACGCCAAUCUGGCUUGGCAGAAUAUCUCUUUGGCAAGCACACCAUGGGAGACAGUGAUAAUGAAAGCUAAGCCUUAGGCUAAUUUCCCCAUAGCCACGGGGUGACUUCCCUGGUCACCAAGGCAGUGCGUGCAUAUUGGGGUUUCCUUUACCUUUUCUAUAAGUUGUACCAAAACAUCCACUUAAGUUCUUUGUACCAUUCCUUCAAAUAAAGAAAUUUGGUACCC